ACUUUUAAAAUAUCUGUAGGAAGUUAGGCAGCACACAACACAUUAGUAACAUUUGUCAACCAAUACCCCUGUCAUCGCUCAACACGUAUACAACGUUUCUGUUUCGUGUUAAAUUCUGUUUUUAUUAAACAAUAAAAAUGGAAGGAUACUUAUUGGAGCCCACAUUAUACACCAUCAAAGGAAUUGCCAUCUUGGACAAUGAUGGCAACAGAAUUCUUGCAAAAUAUUACGACAAGAACGUAUUCCCGACGUCUAAGGAACAAAAAGCAUUCGAAAAGAACCUUUUCAACAAAACACAUCGAGCCAAUGCCGAGAUUAUAAUGCUGGAUGGACUCACAUGCAUCUACAAAAGCAAUGUAGACUUAUUCUUCUAUGUCAUGGGCAGUUCGCAAGAAAAUGAGUUAAUUCUAAUGAGCGUCCUCAACUGUCUCUACGAUUCCGUGAGCCAAAUCCUGCGAAAAAACGUCGAAAAGCGCGCGGUGCUUGAAUCACUGGACAUUGUAAUGCUGGCAAUGGACGAAAUCUGCGACGGCGGCAUCAUAAUCGACGCUGAUUCCAGUUCGGUGGUGUCACGCGUCGCCCUACGCUCCGAUGACAUUCCACUGGGUGAACAGACAGUCGCACAGGAAAUACGCCAAUUACUCUCCGGCGUCGUGUACUGAGUUACUUACAUCAACUUCCUCCUUAAUGAACGCCUUUGUGUUUGUGAAUUCGUCGUCGGACGGUUUCUUAAACUGUUUAUACCUAGCGAAAUAAGUGCCUAUCGAUAUUCCGCGUUGAAUUUUCUUCUGCAAGAUGUCCUCCUUGUUAAGAAACACAAUCGCUGUAUGUGGGUUUAGAUACCUGUGUACAACAGUCAAUAGUUUACUGUUUGUGAUAAGUUUAGUAUAGAAAUUUUACCUGGAAUUAAACAUGUUACCGAACGUUGUUAGCGCUUCUUCCAGGCGAUUUGUCGAUUCAUCCUCGCGUAGUACUUGAUCAAAAUCACUUACCGAAAUUACGAAUAAGAGGGUUUUUAUUCCUUCGAAAAGCUAAAGAAGUUAUUGUUUAGAGUAAGCGUCGAUUCAUCACAAAAAUAAUUCCAGUAUCUACAUAACCUUAGGAAAAUAUUGAGAAUUCAAUUAAUGCUUAACUGGUUGCCUAAAUUCGCGUAAUGGCCGACUAUUCAUUAAAAUUACAUCCACAAAUAUAUUGGAAGCAAAAAUAUUCGAGAAUAAACUUAAACUUUUUAUAGUUAUAUAGAAACUUGAAUUCUUUUUGCGUCGCAACAACGUAUUUGAAUUAAUUAGUUUUAAAUUUUUGAUUUAAUCAAUUAGUUUGAUUUAUUACCGAUAUCCAUUUCCGGCGCUGUCCGCGCUGACCACCUACAUCAUGCAUCACGAAACUAACCAUGUGGCCGCCAUGCUUGAUUUUGAAUUCAAUCGUCUGCACCGCUGUAGUUUUCACGCGACAAUAGAGGAUGUCUUGUGUGUCCGGAACAUAAUCAGCCCGUCUAAUCACAUCUAACCGCUUCAUAAACUCUUCUGUGCUAUCAAAUUCUCGAAAGUCGCAACAUUUUUCCCUGGCUCGAUUGAUACGAGAUUUGUGCGAAGGUUGACGUCGAUGUCGCGGCCUUCCACGACCUUCCACAGGGCAUCCGCGUACUUUUUCACGCCGAAGAUGACUGGUAACGAGGUGUUGUAGAUUACUCUCGCAUUGUUUCGUUUGUUAUUCUGUACAAACACAUUAAAAAUGGGUUAAUAAUCA